GAUGAACGCUGGCGGCGUGCCUAAUACAUGCAAGUCGAGCGAACAGACGAGGAGCUUGCUCCUCUGACGUUAGCGGCGGACGGGUGAGUAACACGUGGAUAACCUACCUAUAAGACUGGGAUAACUUCGGGAAACCGGAGCUAAUACCGGAUAAUAUAUUGAACCGCAUGGUUCAAUAGUGAAAGACGGUUUUGCUGUCACUUAUAGCUGGAUCCGCGCCGCAUUAGCUAGUUGGUAAGGUAACGGCUUACCAAGGCAACGAUGCGUAGCCGACCUGAGAGGGGGAUCGGCCACACUGGAACGGAGACACGGUCCAGACUCCUACGGGAGGCAGCAGUAGGGAAUCUUCCGCAAUGGGCGAAAGCUUGACGGAGCAACGCCGCGUGAGUGAUGAAGGUCUUCGGAUCGUAAAACUCUGUUAUUAGGGAAGAACAAAUGUGUAAGUAACUAUGCACGUCUUGACGGUACCUAAUCAGAAAGCCACGGCUAACUACGUG
rnacentral:rRNA from 1 species